AAUUAAUAAGCUUUGCUUAAGCAUUUGUUUUGAAAACAUAAAAAAGAUUUCUCUAUUAAUUUUAC
rnacentral:tRNA from 1 species